AUUGAACGCUGGCGGCAGGCCUAACACAUGCAAGUCGAACGAGUGGCGGACGGGUGAGUAAUGUCUGGGAAACUGCCUGAUGGAGGGGGAUAACUACUGGAAACGGUAGCUAAUACCGCAUACCAUCGGAUGUGCCCAGAUGGGAUUAGCUAGUAGGUGGGGUAAAGGCUCACCUAGGCGUCGAUCCCUAGCUGGUCUUAGAGGAUGACCAGCCACACUGGAACUGAGACACGUUCCAGACUCCUACGCGAGGCAGCAGUGGUGAAUAUUGCACAAUGGGCGCAAGCCUGAUGCAGCCAUGCCGCGGGUAUGAAGAAGGCCUUCGGGUUGUAAAGUACUUUCAGCGGGGAGGCGGUACCAGAAGAAGAAGCACCGGCUAACUCCGUGCCAGCCGCCGCGGUAAGUG
rnacentral:rRNA from 1 species